CUACAUGAAGCCGGAAUCGCUAGUAAUCGCGGAUCAGAAUGCCGCGGUGAAUACGUUCCCGGGUCUUGUACACACCGCCCGUCACACCAUGGGAGUCGGAAAUGCCCGAAGUCUGUGACCCAACCGUAAGGAGGGAGCAGCCGAAGGCAGGUCGGAUGACUGGGGUGAAGUCGUAACAAGGUAUC
rnacentral:rRNA from 1 species